AUUGAACGCUGGCGGCAGGCCUAAUACAUGCAAGUCGAACGGUAACAGGAAGAAGCUUGCUUCUUUGCUGACGAGUGGCGGACGGGUGAGUAAUGUCUGGGAAACUGCCUGAUGGAGGGGGAUAACUACUGGAAACGGUAGCUAAUACCGCAUAAUGUCGCAAGACCAAAGAGGGGGACCUUCGGGCCUCUUGCCAUCGGAUGUGCCCAGAUGGGAUUAGCUAGUAGGUGGGGUAACGGCUCACCUAGGCGACGAUCCCUAGCUGGUCUGAGAGGAUGACCAGCCACACUGGAACUGAGACACGGUCCAGACUCCUACGGGAGGCAGCAGUGGGGAAUAUUGCACAAUGGGCGCAAGCCUGAUGCAGCUAUGCCGCGUGUAUGAAGAAGGCCUUCGGGUUGUAGAGUACUUUCAGCGGGGAGGAAGGGAGUCAAGUUAAUACCUUGGCUCAUUGACGUUACCCGCAGAAGAAGCACCGGCUAACUCCGUG
rnacentral:rRNA from 1 species